rnacentral:rRNA from 1 species
AUUGAACGCUGGCGGCAGGCCUAACACAUGCAAGUCGAGCGGAGGAAGGGAGCUUGCUCCUGGAUUCAGCGGCGGACGGGUGAGUAAUGCCUAUGAAUCUGCCUGGUAGUGGGGGAUAACGUCCGGAAACGGGCGCUAAUACCGCAUACGUCCUGCGGGAGAAAGUGGGGGAUCUUCGGACCUCACGCUAUCAUAUGAGCCUAGGUCGGAUUAGCUAGUUGGUGGGGUAAAGGCCUACCAAGGCGACGAUCCGUAACUGGUCUGAGAGGAUGAUCAGUCACACUGGAACUGAGACACGGUCCAGACUCCUACGGGAGGCAGCAGUGGGGAAUAUUGGACAAUGGGCGAAAGCCUGAUCCAGCCAUGCCGAGUGUGUGAAGAAGGUCUUCGGAUUGUAAAGCACUUUAAGUUGGGAGGAAGGGCAGUAAGUUAAUACCUUGCUGUUUUGACGUUACCAACAGAAUAAGCACCGGCUAACUUCGUG